rnacentral:rRNA from 1 species
UACGUAGGGGGCUAGCGUUGUCCGGAAUCAUUGGGCGUAAAGAGCGUGUAGGCGGUCCGGUAAGUCCGCUGUGAAAGUCGGGGGCUCAACCCUCGAAUGCCGGUGGAUACUGUCGGGCUAGAGUGCGGAAGAGGCGAGUGGAAUUCCUGGGUGUAGCGGUGAAAUGCGCAGAUAUCAGGAGGAACACCGGUGGUGUAGACGGCUUUCUGGACCGUAACUGACGCUGAGACACGAAAGCGUGGGUAGCAAACAGG